rnacentral:rRNA from 1 species
AGUGAACGCUGGCGGCGUGCCUAAUACAUGCAAGUCGAACGAUGAAGCUCUAGCUUGCUAGAGUGGAUUAGUGGCGCACGGGUGAGUAAUGCAUAGAUAACAUGCCCUUUAGUCUAGGAUAGCCAUUGGAAACGAUGAUUAAUACUGGAUACUCCUUACGAGGGAAAGUUUUUCGCUAAAGGAUUGGUCUAUGUCCUAUCAGCUUGUUGGUGAGGUAAUGGCUCACCAAGGCUAUGACGGGUAUCCGGCCUGAGAGGGUGAACGGACACACUGGAACUGAGACACGGUCCAGACUCCUACGGGAGGCAGCAGUAGGGAAUAUUGCUCAAUGGGGGAAACCCUGAAGCAGCAACGCCGCGUGGAGGAUGAAGGUUUUCGGAUUGUAAACUCCUUUUGUUAGAGAAGAUAAUGACGGUAUCUAACGAAUAAGCACCGGCUAACUCCGUGCCAGCAGCCGCGGUAAUACGGAGGGUGCAAGCGUUACUCGGAAUCACUGGGCGUAAAGAGCGCGUAGGCGGGAUAGCAAGUCAGAUGUGAAAUCCUAUGGCUUAACCAUAGAACUGCAUUUGAAACUGUUAUUCUAGAGUAUGGGAGAGGUAGGUGGAAUUCUUGGUGUAGGGGUAAAAUCCGUAGAGAUCAAGAGGAAUACUCAUUGCGAAGGCGACCUGCUAGAACAUAACUGACGCUGAUGCGCGAAAGCGUGGGGAGCAACAGGAUUAGAUACCCUGGUAGUCCACGCCCUAAACGAUGAAUGCUAGUUGUUGUGGAGCUUGUCUCUGCAGUAAUGCAGCUAACGCAUUAAGCAUUCCGCCUGGGGAGUACGGUCGCAAGAUUAAAACUCAAAGGAAUAGACGGGGACCCGCACAAGCGGUGGAGCAUGUGGUUUAAUUCGAAGAUACACGAAGAACCUUACCUAGGCUUGACAUUGAUAGAAUCCGCUAGAGAUAGUGGAGUGCUAGCUUGCUAGAACUUGAAAACAGGUGCUGCACGGCUGUCGUCAGCUCGUGUCGUGAGAUGUUGGGUUAAGUCCCGCAACGAGCGCAACCCUCGUCCUUAGUUGCUAACUAUUCGGUAGAGCACUCUAAGGAGACUGCCUUCGCAAGGAGGAGGAAGGUGAGGAUGACGUCAAGUCAUCAUGGCCCUUACGCCUAGGGCUACACACGUGCUACAAUGGGAAGCACAAAGAGAUGCAAUAUUGUGAAAUGGAGCAAAUCUAUAAAACUUCUCUCAGUUCGGAUUGUAGUCUGCAACUCGACUACAUGAAGCUGGAAUCGCUAGUAAUCGUAAAUCAGCUAUGUUACGGUGAAUACGUUCCCGGGU